rnacentral:rRNA from 1 species
GNGACAUACCACUUGUUGCCUCGGCGGAUCAGCCCGCUCCCGGUAAAACGGGACGGCCCGCCAGAGGACCCCUAAACUCUGUUUCUAUAUGUAACUUCUGAGUAAAACCAUAAAUAAAUCAAAACUUUCAACAACGGAUCUCUUGGUUCUGGCAUCGAUGAAGAACGCAGCAAAAUGCGAUAAGUAAUGUGAAUUGCAGAAUUCAGUGAAUCAUCGAAUCUUUGAACGCACAUUGCGCCCGCCAGUAUUCUGGCGGGCAUGCCUGUUCGAGCGUCAUUUCAACCCUCAAGCACAGCUUGGUGUUGGGACUCGCGUUAAUUCGCGUUCCUCAAAUUGAUUGGCGGUCACGUCGAGCUUCCAUAGCGUAGUAGUAAAACCCUCGUUACUGGUAAUCGUCGCGGCCACGCCGUUAAACCCCAACUUCUGAAUGUUGACCUCGGAUCAGGUAGGAAUACCCGCUGAACUUAAGCAUAUCAAAG